GAGCAGCAUUUUUUAGGCUGUUUUCCAUCGUCUCCUUAUAUGGCUGUGAAUGUGCCAUGAACGAGCCUACACUUUCUGCCGUUUCUUCAAGGUGUCUGCAGCAUUGUGACGUAUUUGUAGGCAUAUCAUUGGAAGAUUGGCCAUAAGAGACUAUAUUUACCAGGGGUCCGCCCGGUGUCCUUUGUCUAAAUUGGUGCGUAAUCUCCAAGCUGCACGCAUUGAUCCAUUUGAUUGAGGGGAGAGAGGAGACUUCCACGAACUAUAUAUCAUCGAAGAGAUAUGUGAAAAACACCUUGAGGAUUGAUUCUAAACAACGUUUACCAUGUUUCAGUCGAUAUUAUGGAGUUAAUUUGGAAAAAAGUUCUGCGUUUUGAUGUCUGAAUUUUCGGGUUUUUUGGGUAGCCAAACGUGAUGUCCAAAAUGGAGCGAUUUCUCCUACACAAAGAAUCUUUUUGGACAAACUGAACAUUUGCUAUCUAACUGAGAGUCUCCUCAUUGAAAACAUCUGAAGUUCUUCAAAGGACCCGAGCCCUAGGACCUGAGCUCCAGGACUACCUGACAUGAUGACUCCUUGCUGUCCCCAGUCCACCUGGCCAUGCUGCUGCUCCAGUUUCAACUUCCACCUGAC
ensembl:lncRNA